AUUGAACGCUGGCGGCAUGCUUUACACAUGCAAGUCGAACGGCAGCACGGGCUUCGGCCUGGUGGCGAGUGGCGAACGGGUGAGUAAUGCAUCGGAACGUGCCCAUGUUGUGGGGGAUAACUACGCGAAAGCGUGGCUAAUACCGCAUACGCCCUGAGGGGGAAAGCGGGGGAUUCUUCGGAACCUCGCGCAAUUGGAGCGGCCGAUGUCAGAUUAGCUUGUUGGUGAGGUAAAGGCUCACCAAGGCGACGAUCUGUAGCGGGUCUGAGAGGAUGAUCCGCCACACUGGGACUGAGACACGGCCCAGACUCCUACGGGAGGCAGCAGUGGGGGAAUUUUGGACAAUGGGGGCGAACCCUGAUCCAGCCAUGCCGCGUGAGUGAAGAAGGCCUC
rnacentral:rRNA from 1 species